UACGUAGGGGGGCUAGCGUUGUCCGGAAUCAUUGGGCGUAAAGCGCGCGUAGGCGGCCCGGUAAGUCCGCUGUGAAAGUCCAGGGCUCAACCCUGGAAAGCCGGUGGAUACUGCCGGGCUAGAGUCCGGGAGAGGCGAGUGGAAUUCCUGGUGUAGCGGUGAAAUGCGCAGAUAUCAGGAAGAACACCAAUGGCGAAAGCAGCUUUCUGGGACGGUACUGACGCUGAGACGCGAAAGCGUGGGGAGCGAACAGG
rnacentral:rRNA from 1 species